AACGAACGCUGGCGGCAGGCUUAACACAUGCAAGUCGAACGGGCGUAGCAAUACGUCAGUGGCGGACGGGUGAGUAACACGUGGGAAUGUGCCUUUCGGUUCGGAACAACUCGGGGAAACUCGUGCUAAUUCCGGAUACGCCCUUACGGGAAGAUUUAUCGCCGAAAGAUCAGCCCGCGUCCGAUUAGCUAGUUGGUGAGGUAAAGGCUCACCAAGGCACCGAUCGGUAGCUGGUUUGAGAGAACGACCAGCCACACUGGGACUGAGACACGGCCCAGACUCCUACGGGAGGCAGCAGUGGGGAAUCUUGGACAAUGGGCGCAAGCCUGAUCCAGCCAUGCCGCGUGAGUGAUGAA
rnacentral:rRNA from 1 species